rnacentral:lncRNA from 1 species
GGUUGUCCGAUUUAUCUGAAAAUUUCAGGGCAGAUAGAUCUUGACCUGAUAAUCAACUUUAUCCCGUGUCAGAUUUGCUCUAAAUGCUUCGGUUUUUGAGUUAUAAGCCAAAAACUGCAUUUGACCCCUAUGUUCUAUUUUUAGCAAUGGCAACCAUGUUUGUUGAUAGAUCAAAACUUCGGAUACAAUUUAUAAACUAGAUACCCUAAGGAACAUUCAGUUAAAGUUUGGAAGUAUUUGGCCUAGUAGUUUCAGAGGAGAAGAUUCUUGAAAUAGUU